UCCGUUGUCGUCCAGCCUGGUUAGGAUAUCUGGCUUUCACCCAGGAGACCCGGGUUCAAAUCCCGGCAACGGAA
rfam:Nelumbo nucifera unplaced genomic scaffold scaffold00002, whole genome shotgun sequence